rnacentral:misc_RNA from 1 species
AACCAUAGAAACCUGCGGAGUACCUGCGGAGGGAUCAUUAACACAAUGAUAAUCCUACCUCUUGCGCAUGCCGGCAACGGCGUGCGCGAGAACCACCGAUUGGAAAACGUUAAAGUCUUCCACCAGCAUCCAGCUUCGGCUGCCGUGCUUGUGUGGCAAGUACUUUGAGUCUCAUCCCUCCGCUCGCUUCCCGCGAACGGAGGGCUUGAAACCACACCAAAAAAACAUCGCCUAUCUAUU